rnacentral:rRNA from 1 species
UACGGAGGGUGCGAGCGUUGUCCGGAAUUACUGGGCGUAAAGCGUGCGCAGGCGGCGCGUUAAGACAGGUGUGAAAGCCCCGAGCUUAACUUGGGAAUUGCGCUUGUGACUGGCGUGCUGGAGUGUGGCAGAGGGAGGUGGAAUUCCACGUGUAGCAGUGAAAUGCGUAGAGAUGUGGAGGAACACCGAUGGCGAAGGCAGGUCUCUGGGCUGACACUGACGCUCAUGCACGAAAGCGUGGGGAGCAAACAGG